GCAGUAGCCGCGGUAAUACAGAGGGUGCGAGCGUUAAUCGGAUUUACUGGGCGUAAAGCGUGCGUAGGCGGCUUUUUAAGUCGGAUGUGAAAUCCCUGAGCUUAACUUAGGAAUUGCAUUCGAUACUGGGAAGCUAGAGUAUGGGAGAGGAUGGUAGAAUUCCAGGUGUAGCGGUGAAAUGCGUAGAGAUCUGGAGGAAUACCGAUGGCGAAGGCAGCCAUCUGGCCUAAUACUGACGCUGAGGUACGAAAGCAUGGGGAGCAAACAGGAUUAGAUACCCGAGUAGUCCCUGUCUCUUAUAU
rnacentral:rRNA from 1 species